rnacentral:rRNA from 1 species
CCUACGGGUGGCAGCAGUGAGGAAUAUUGGUCAAUGGGCGCGAGCCUGAACCAGCCAAGUAGCGUGAAGGAUGACUGCCCUACGGGUUGUAAACUUCUUUUAUAAAGGAAUAAAGUGAGGCACGUGUGCCUUUUUGUAUGUACUUUAUGAAUAAGGCACGGCUAACUCCGUGCCAGCAGCCGCGGGAAUACGGAGGAUCCGAGCGUUAUACGGAUUUCUUGGGGUUAAAGGGAGCGUAGAUGGGUUGUUAAGUCAGUUGUGAAAGUUUGGGGCUCAACCGUAAAAGUGCAAUUGAAACUGGCAGUCUUGAGUACAGGUGAGGUAAGCGGAAUUCGUGGUGUAGCGGUGAAAUGCUUAGAUAUCACGAAGAACGCCGAUUGCGAAGGCAGCUUACUAAACUGCCACUGACAUUGAUGCUCGAAAGUGUGGGUAUCAAACAGGAUUAGAUACCCGAGUAGUC